GACCGCCGGAAUGAUGCAUGCAGCACGCACGUGUUGAUGAUGAUGCUGAUGACGGUCAUCGUCAUAACAAUCACUCUCACCGCUGCAGACCUGCCUAUAUUUGAUCGUAUCGCGCUCUGCGUCGCGAGGAGAGUAACUACCAGAGGGACCUGGAAUCUUCCCCCAGCCCCCCUUUCGGGGUCUGGGGAACCUUGGCGGCCCACACAUCACCCCCUACUGGUGGGUGUCUGCUAGUGCAGGUAAGUACCCCGAUUAUUGCGUUACACAUUUAUGCUACUUACAUUUCUCUGACACAUUUAUUUCUGAUGAAUAUGAUUUCAAUAUUCAAAAAUGUAUUCUCUUCCUGUGCCGUAUUAUCACAGUGCCUGCCUACAAUACAGUAUUUAGAAAAUAAUCUACAUAUUUAAAGGCACCAUGCAAUACUCUCACCUAUCAAUGUCAAUGUUUGUCUGUCUGUGUGUCUGUCUGUGUGUGUGCGGCAAGUUCCAAUUUCGCGUCUGUCACCUUUAGUUUAAUUAGCGAUUUAGUGCUGCUUUAGGUUACUUCUUUAUUACAUAGCGCCUGCUCGACCGUACCAACUAGCACGAGUUCGGUGGGGGAUAGGGCCCCUACCAAGUCACACGCGUUCGGUGGGGGUGAGGGGGGAAUUAUAAUUUGGGUCAACACCCUAUAAGGUAAGUCGCACAUUGCUCUAGCUGUGGCAUCAUCGGGGAUUGCGGCAAUGCAGCUUACUGGAGGAAGAACUGUCCAUUCCACAUUGGAUCUAUCCCGACAAGACAACCCUGUUUGCAAUAUAGCCCUUGCACAAGUCCUGCUUAAUUGUGAAUUCAUAGUGUGAGAUGAAUGCACCAUGUUCCACAAGGGAGCGUUUGAGGCUGUCAACAAAACUUUGCAGGACCUCCGCGACAAUUCCAGCAUUAUGGAUGGUGUAACUUUACUCAUGCCUGGUGACUUGCGACAAACCUUACCUGUUGUACUUCGAGGAACCAAAGCUAAUGAGUUAAAUGCCUGCAUCAAGUCAUCAUUCCUCUGGAGGCACGUGAUGAAACUGAGACUAAC